rnacentral:rRNA from 1 species
GACGAACGCUGGCGGCGUGCUUAACACAUGCAAGUCGAACGGAAAGGCCCUGCUUUUGUGGGGUGCUCGAGUGGCGAACGGGUGAGUAACACGUGAGUAACCUGCCCUUGACUUUGGGAUAACUUCAGGCAACUGGGGCUAAUACCGGAUAGGAGCUCCUGCUGCAUGGUGGGGGUUGGAAAGUUUCGGCGGUUGGGGAUGGACUCGCGGCUUAUCAGCUUGUUGGUGGGGUAGUGGCUUACCAAGGCUUUGACGGGUAGCCGGCCUGAGAGGGUGACCGGCCACGUUGGGACUGAGAUGCGGCCCAGACUCCUACGGGAGGCAGCGGUGGGGAGUAUUGCACAGUGGGCGGAAGCCUGAUGCAGCAACGCCGCGUGCGGGAUAACGGCCUUCGGGUUGUAAACCGCUUUCGCCUGUGACGAGGCGUGAGUGACGGUAAUGGGUAAAGAAGCACCGGCUAACUACGUG